AUACGGAGGGUGCGAGCGUUAAUCGGAAUUACUGGGCGUAAAGCGUACGUAGGCGGUUGGUUAAGUUAGAUGUGAAAGCCCCGGGCUGAACCUGGGAACUGCAUUUAAAACUGGCGAACUAGAGUUGAGUAGAGGGGAGUGGAAUUUCAGGUGUAGCGGUGAAAUGCGUAGAGAUCUGAAGGAACACCAGUGGCGAAGGCGACUCCCUGGACUCGAACUGACGCUGAGGUACGAAAGCGUGGGUAGCAAACGGGAUUAGAAACCCCAGUAGUCC
rnacentral:rRNA from 1 species